UGGCCUCAAAGUUUGAUUAAACGCCAUCAAAACACGGGCUCCUGUAUCUUGGACAUAUUUUGUCCAAUCGAGUCCAAACUAUACACAUAAGACAAGAGUCGCGACCUGAAGACAUCGGUACAGAAAUCGUGACUUAAAAUCACAGCGUCCCCUGGUGGCAACAGCAAAUGUCUUGUUUUUCUAUGUGUUAUAGUUUGAUUCACUACUCGUAGGGCCUUCAUUAAAUCAACGUAAAAAUUUGAUGCAUGUGUUCAAAACAAGAUGAAGAUCUAAAGUUAACGAAAUUGCAACUUUUCAUAAUACUGUGUGACCGUGGUGUGGCUUCCAGUUUGAGGAAUGAAAACAUCUAUAUCUGGCAGAUGUGCUGCAAUAUUUAGUCACUAGAUGGCAGUGUCAGACCAUGCUUUGUGUUAUCUAUGCAUUAACAGACUGUGUUUACAGGGUGGCCAACUUUAGAGGAGAAUUAAACCUUUUACAGCAUUGCUCAAACUUUGGUUUUAGUCUCAAUCGCUAAGUUCUUCCUUCAUGACAACUCUGAGGGGGGUGUAUUUUAUUUUAACUCCCUCGUUUAAGCGAUAUAGAUGUUUGAAAUUCACGUGACGUCACAGUGUAAGCUGUGCUGUGUGUUGUGAGUUCGGCUUUCACCAGUUACACGUGAACGCCUCAUGAAAUGGCUUACACCCACAUACCCGGUAAAUUACACACUUUGAUGUUCUGCUCCUUCUCCUGACGGUCACGGUAACGAUGUCUGCGCCUCCGUUUCUGUGGAUGUCCAGCGUGAGACACAACUUGAAUCCAACCAGACUGAACACUGACUCCAGGGAAGGACGAGCCUGAAGGACACAGCUGUGAUGACCAAUUGACCAUGUUUUGUCUCUUAUGGCAAAGCAGAAAUAUUAAACACUGGGUUCUUAUCUAAAGUGUAUCAAAUCAGAAAGCAAAAGAUACACAUUGUUGUUAUAAGUUUUUAUUAUUUUAACCAACCAUAAUGAAGAUAGAAAUGAAUUCUUAUCCAUGCCACUUAGCAAUGACUGCCACCACCAAACAGUUGCAGGCCAUCUUUAUUUAAGGGAGGAAUUUAGAAGUGUUGUGUAGCUUCUGAUGAUGAUGCAGUCGUCCACGUGUUGACCACCAUGUUGCUGCUGACGACGUCAGGUGCUGCAGUUCCUCAUCUAUAAAGAGAAGAAACGCACUGUUAAAGAAUGUUUUGAGUUGUGUAUGAAGCACAACAGAUUUCAGAUAGAACCGUUGUACUGUGGUCUGGGUUUGUAUCCUAAUGGUUAAAUGCACAUAUUUUAAGUCGCUUUUGAUAAAAGUACUGAAAGAAAUACAACAUUGUAAAAAUAGAUAAAAUGUCUUUCUACCUCAUCUGUAAUAUUCAAGGUGAUAAUCUCCCACAGAGCUAUUGAUAACAGUCCACAUCAAGUCUCUCCACUUCCCUCAGUGUGAAAACAUAAUUAUAUAAUUAAUUUGAGAACUGUUUACAACACUGAUGUGUGGAGAUUAAAAUCAUAUCUAAACUGUCUAAUUCACUGUAAAACUCCAUGACAUUCGCAGGCCAUCUGUAGUUAAGGGAGCAACGUAUGGAGUGAUGUGUAGAGGGCAGAAACUUGGACUAUGGGCAGAGAAGGUCUCUGGUUCGUCUCCGGUUCGACUCCACGGAGAGACAACAAAAGACAAACCUGGAUUGAUCUGUCCAAAAAUCCAAGAGUCUCCCUACCCUCUCUAGUGCCCCUGAGCAAGGCACCUCACUCCCCCAACAUCUGCUCCGUGAGCGCCGUACAUGGUCGCUCACUGCUCUGUGUGUCCUGCACCAGAUGGGUAAAAAGCAGAGAUUAAAUUUCCCUACCUGCAUGAGUGUGCCUUUGCAUGUCUGUGCAUGUGUUUGGGACGAAUAAAUGGAUCUUAAUCUUAA